AACGAACGCUGGCGGCAGGCCUAACACAUGCAAGUCGAGCGAGGACUUCGGUUCUAGCGGCGGACGGGGGAGUAACGCGUGGGAAUGUUCCCUUCUCUACGGCAUAGCCCUGGGAAACUGGGAGUAAUACCGUAUACGCCCUAUUGGGGAAAGAUUUAUCGGAGAAGGAUCAGCCCGCGUUGGAUUAGGUAGUUGGUGGGGUAAUGGCCUACCAAGCCGACGAUCCAUAGCUGGUUUGAGAGGAUGAUCAGCCACACUGGGAUUGAGACACGGCCCAGACUCCUACGGGAGGCAGCAGUGGGGAAUCUUAGACAAUGGGGGCAACCCUGAUCUAGCCAUGCCGCGUGAGUGAUGAAGGCCUUAGGGUUGUAAAGCUCUUUCAGCUGGGAAGAUAAUGACGGUACCAGCAGAAGAAGCCCCGGCUAACUCCGUG
rnacentral:rRNA from 1 species